GAUGAAGAACGUAGCGAAAUGCGAUAAGUAAUGUGAAUUGCAGAAUUCAGUGAAUCAUCGAAUCUUUGAACGCACAUUGCGCCCCUUGGUAUUCCGGGGGGCAUGCCUGUUCGAGCGUCAUUUCAACCCUCAAGCUCUGCUUGGUAUUGGGCACCGUCCUUUGCGGGCGCGCCUCAAAGACCUCGGCGGUGACGUCUUGCCUCAAGCGUAGUAGAAUACACCUCGCUUCGGAGCGUAAGGCGUCGCCCGCCGGACGAACCUUCUGAACUUUUCUCAAGGUUGACCUCGGAUCAGGUAGGGAUACCCGCUGAACUUAAGCAUAUCAAUAAGCGGAGGA
rnacentral:misc_RNA from 1 species